rnacentral:pre_miRNA from 1 species
UAGCAGCACAUAAAUACUGGAGUUUGGGAUUGCCUACAGCUGCUCUCCAGUAUUAUAUUGCUGCUCUA